rnacentral:rRNA from 1 species
GUUGAACGCUGGCGGCGUGCCUAAUACAUGCAAGUCGAGCGAACAGACGAGGAGCUUGCUCCUCUGACGUUAGCGGCGGACGGGUGAGUAACACGUGGAUAACCUACCUAUAAGACUGGGAUAACUUCGGGAAACCGGAGCUAAUACCGGAUAAUAUAUUGAACCGCAUGGUUCAAUAGUGAAAGACGGUUUUGCUGUCACUUAUAGAUGGAUCCGCGCCGCAUUAGCUAGUUGGUAAGGUAACGGCUUACCAAGGCAACGAUGCGUAGCCGAUCUGAGAGGGUGAUCGGCCACACUGGAACUGAGACACGGUCCAGACUCCUACGGGAGGCAGCAGUAGGGAAUCUUCGGCAAUGGGCGAAAGCCUGACGGAGCAACGCCGCGUGAGUGAUGAAGGUCUUCGGAUCGUAAAGCUCUGUUAUUAGGGAAGAACAAAUGUGUAAGUAACUAUGCACGUCUUGACGGUACCUAAUCAGAAAGCAACGGCUAACUACGUG